AAAAAAUUAGUUUAUAAAAAACAUUAAAUUGUCAAUUUAAAAAUAUUAAUCAAUAAUAUUUUUUA
rnacentral:tRNA from 1 species